rnacentral:sRNA from 1 species
CCAGCCCUGACCCACCCUGGCAGAUGGCCGGUACUCACCCAGCGAAGUCCCUGGAUGCAGCUUGGGCGCCGGUGCUCGAACACUAGCUGCUGGGCCCACCUGCCAGUGGUUCUCACCUGGCCAGCUGACCUGUGAUGGGGGGAGGAAAGUGGACAGCCAUCGGCCGGAGGAGCUGGACCUUCCUACCACCACCCCAGGCUUAGCGUCCUCUGGACUUGGACUGGUCAUGCGGAGCUCACACCGCGGUGCUUGCCCUAGCAAGAGGCUGCAGGAACCCUGGAGUGCCCCAGGGCAGCUCCACCCGGGAAUCCUGGAGGGGGGAUGAGUGAGUCCCUAGCGCAGGAAAGGGUCAGCUUCCAGCAGGACAGGUUGCCGGGAGUAGCGAGGUGCAGGGCUGGGCAGAUGGGGUUAGUCCUGGGUGAGUAAAGGGCUGGGGGCGUGGGGGAGCCCCCACCCCUCCCCAAAGACUAAGGACUCCGAGCCUCCGCCUCCGUCCCAGAUGUAAAAGCCAGCUGGCACAGGGCGUUCAGGCGAAGCUGCAGCUGGCACUGGUCCGGGCGGGAGCUGUCACACCCCCUGCGCUGCCCGCCCCUUCCCCUCCCCGGGACAGGGGGCGGGGAGCAGGCACCGGCUUUACGGUAGGUGUGGGCAUAAGGGAAGGGGCUGGGCCAGCAGUUGAUGGAGUCCCGUACCCUACUACGUCAGUGGGUUCAAGCUCUUGUCCUGAGGUCUCAGCGGGUAGGAAGUGCCGAAGGGUAUCUGCCCCAGCCGCUGCCCGAGUGCCGGGUUAGGGGCGGUGAUGGCUGCACCCGCCGCCACGUGGCCAAGAGGAGAAAUGCAAACAAGGAAACUAGGGAAGGGGGAGGGAGUGAGUCAUGGCGGCCCCACCCCGGAGGGAAAUCCGGGCUGGGGCCGCUUCCUGGCCAGGGGCGUCCGGCCUCCCGUUUGGGCUCAGGGUUUCCAGAAGCCCAGGGCUGAAACUGGGCAGCCUUCCCGUGGGGGAAUCCCGUUGCCUGGCCUCCCACCUUUGCCCUCCCAAUCGCACACACUGGCGCGGGUGGGGAAAUUGAGGCUGGCGGAGAGGGACUGCAUUCCAGACGGAGAGGGGCAAGUGGGUAGGUGUAAAGUGCCGGGACUUGACUCUGUGGCAGAGUUUCAAAGACAGGAUGGGCUUUGGGGGCCCUGCCCCGCCCACAAAGUGCUCCCCUGUGCCGAGCUAGGUGAAGGCAGAGCACACCUCCUCCUUGGGCCUCUUUCCACCGUCGGACAGAUGGCUGGCACUUCGUCUCACUCGCUCCUGCUUUCUAGUGGACAGACUGUGACCUGGGACUGUGAUUUCCCGUAAUUGCUCAGGACAUCGGUGAGGGUUUAGAAGAAGGCACAGGUUCCACACCUACGGUUCUAAGCCUCUCUGCCCUCUUCUUUCCCACUGCCAUUAAACCUGGAAGGGGGAGGUGGGGCUAAAGCCCGUUUCCACCCAGCACUGAGAACUUUAACCACCCCUUAAAAACUGAAUUUAAAUGCGGUUUUUCUUUCCCCGAGGGCAUAUUAGCACGACUGAUUUAACUCCUGGAAUUCCGAUUCCAUCCUAUUGGCACGAAGUGGAAACUCGGAGCUUUGAACAAACGUUCCAGGUGGUCUGUAGUGCCCACCCUUGGAGACACACUAUUGAAGAUUUCUCUGCGCCUCUCUGAGGAAAGAGGAGGACCUGGAGACAAGUCUGCCUCACAACUCAGGUCAGCGAGAGAAGCAUUCAAUGCACAGGAAGCACCUGAAGAAAGCUAUUCAAAUGGGCAACAAUGAGGAAGCUGAGGCUCCAAGAUGUCAAACAAUUUGCCCAGCAUUUUUUCUACCUCACGAGCAGUGGAACAACAAGCGAUUCUACCCAAAGGGUCACUGAAUCUGUGCUUCACCGUUCUGGCAGAAAAAUCGCAACACUUCCUACAAAGAAGAAAGGCUCACAUCAGGAGUUCUAGCCCCCCCCCCCCCCGCCCUAGGUAUUCUAGCUCUGGAUGUCAGAGAGCUACUUCAGAUCCAUUUGGUACAGGCUGUCCCUUCAUUGGUUUCUGCCAGAGUACAGGCCCCCUAGGAGCCCCCAUGUCUCUUCAGGUAAAUGGCAGCUGCCCUGGGGACUGGGCCUGGAGGUAGGACAGUUGUGGAGGGCUCCUGAGAGCAAGGCUUUGACUCUGGACUGCGUUUUUUUGACGAAGGCCUCUUGACUGACUCUGCACACACUGAGCCCACAGCUUCCUGGAUUUCUACUGGAGCCUUAAAACUCCAUGUGUCUGGGGGCUGGAGAGGUGGCUCAGUGGUUAAGAGCACGGACUGCUCUUCCUGAGGUCCUGAGUUCAAAUCCCAGCAACCACAUGGUGGCUCACAACCAUCUGUAAUAAGAUCUGAUGCCCUCUUCUGGUGUGUCUGAAGGCAGUUACAGUGUACUCAUAUACAAUAAAAUAAAAUCUU